GACGAACGCUGGCGGCGUGCUUAACACAUGCAAGUCGAACGAAGAGCGAUGGAAGCUUGCUUCUAUCAAUCUUAGUGGCGAACGGGUGAGUAACGCGUAAUCAACCUGCCCUUCAGAGGGGGACAACAGUUGGAAACGACUGCUAAUACCGCAUAUGAUCUAACCUCGGCAUCGAGGAUAGAUGAAAGGUGGCCUCUAUUUAUAAGCUAUCACUGAAGGAGGGGAUUGCGUCUGAUUAGCUAGUUGGAGGGGUAACGGCCCACCAAGGCGAUGAUCAGUAGCCGGUCUGAGAGGAUGAACGGCCACAUUGGGACUGAGACACGGCCCAGACUCCUACGGGAGGCAGCAGUGGGGAAUCUUCCGCAAUGGACGAAAGUCUGACGGAGCAACGCCGCGUGAGUGAUGACGGCCUUCGGGUUGUAAAGCUCUGUUAAUCGGGACGAAAG
rnacentral:rRNA from 1 species